UGUAUUUGAGGAUAGAAAUGGCAGCUAUCGCCCAUUGUUAGGAGAUACAGGAUUCGUCGCCCUGUCUUAUACA
rnacentral:ncRNA from 12 species